UUGGCAUUUUAAUUAAUUUGACAAAAAAAUUAAAAAUUCUAAAUUUUAUUUUUUAACUGACGCGAAGACUUUGGAGUUAAGAGUAAACAAAAUUUUAAACCAACCGCAAUGGAUGUGGCGCAUAAUAGUGUGGGAGUAGUUGGCACAGUGGCAUUUUUGUUCCUUCUGUCGCAUACGACAACUAAGGUAAUGCUCAAGGCGACGACGCCUCUCUGUGAAAUGGCAGGGCGAGCGUUGAUGGAGCCACGGGGUUAUGUGCAGAAAAUGCUUAUGAGUGCACCAAUGCGAAAUACUUGUUCGUUGGUCAAGAAAACGGGAUGUGGCCUUUACAAUUUAGUCGAGAUCUUUGCCAACUCGAAUGUCAGAAGCAUGCCUAAUAUAAAGCCAAUGUAUAUGACAAGUUUCCGCAAUUCAAUGCACCCAUAUUAUUAUUAACUACAAUGGAACGUCGGCAGGAAUACAUUUCGAGAUAAACCUUAACAACUCCAUUAAAACAGAUGGAAUAAUCAUUAGAGCUGCGAAAGUAACCCCAGUAGACUAUGAAGAAUAUGGGUUAUACCUUUAUUUUGAAUUUAUUUCAUUUGGAAGUCUCGUCUUGUAGGGAAUGAAUUAAUUUUCGGCUGGGUUGGCGAAAGUACAACCACGGAUAUUUUCAGCUCAAAAACGUGGAAUAUCUGGUAGAAGAGAUCUUUUUGUGCACUUUUCAAGGUUGCUAAAAUGCAUGUCAUUGUCCAAUUCAAUCCCUUCUAUAUUGGUCCAUGCCCACCUUGCCGUCUGGUCUAUGCUGACUGUGGAUCUUGUCGUCCAUGUGGAGGCUGCUGCUGCUCUAGUUCACCAUGCGGUUGGUGAAGUUAGCUAGCUGCUCCACAUGGGUUACUUCGGUAAAUAGUCUGCUGGUUGAGUUGCUUUGCAACUUUCGCUCUAUAUGAUUCUAUCUGUUCUAAACAAGUCUUCAAGUCGUUAAUUAUGUUUGUGAUAUUAAAUAGGGUUUGUUCUAUUUGAUAUCAUAAAUGUCAAUGGGCUGAUUGUAUUUGGUGGUUAUACAUAUAUGCAAGACCAGUGAAAUUAUGUUUAAUGCUAAAUUCUCAAUAAAUUAAGAAUGCAAACACA